GGCUGUUACAAGCAUGAAUCCAUAUUUUACAAGGUAAAUUCGUUUUAAAGCUCCCACUUGUUUGGAAUGUGGAUUAUAUAUUAGAGAAACCGCUAAUAACGUCAAUAAUUAAUUAAUUAUCUAAUUAAUUAAGGGUAAAAAAAGUCUAUUUGUCCUAAAUCUGGAAAAGUAGAAUAUGUAGUAUAUCAGUUGUCUGGUUUCCAUAGUUCAAGCUCUGGUUAGUUUGGGAUCAGAUGGCCGUGUGUGAAUAAUGUCCCAGGAUAUUAUUAUUAUUAUUAUUAUGACUACAUAGUCGUGUAGCAGAUGCCAUCAAUGUCUGCAGGAUCCUCUGAAUUUUGG